AGGCGCUACCAUGCAAGUCGAGCGAGAUCUUCGGAUCUAGCGGCGGACGGGUGAGUAACGCGUGGGAACGUACCCUCUUCUGCGGGAUAGCCACUGGAAACGGUGAGUAAUACCGCAUACGCCCUUCGGGGGAAAGAUUUAUCGGAGGAGGAUCGGCCCGCGUUGGAUUAGGUAGUUGGUGGGGUAAUGGCCUACCAAGCCUACGAUCCAUAGCUGGUUUUAGAGGAUGAUCAGCCACACUGGGACUGAGACACGGCCCAGACUCCUACGGGAGGCAGCAGUGGGGAAUCUUAGACAAUGGGCGCAAGCCUGAUCUAGCCAUGCCGCGUGAGUGACGAAGGCCUUAGGGUCGUAAAGCUCUUUCGCCUGUGAUGAUAAUGACAGUAGCAGGUAAAGAAACCCCGGCUAACUCCGUGCCAGCAGCCGCGGUAAUACGGAGGGGGUUAGCGUUGUUCGGAAUUACUGGGCGUAAAGCGCACGUAGGCGGAUUGGAAAGUAUGGGGUGAAAUCCCAGGGCUCAACCCUGGAACGGCCUCAUAAACUUCCAGUCUGGAGUUCGAGAGAGGUGAGUGGAAUUCCGAGUGUAGAGGUGAAAUUCGUAGAUAUUCGGAGGAACACCAGUGGCGAAGGCGGCUCACUGGCUCGAUACUGACGCUGAGGUGCGAAAGUGUGGGGAGCAAACAGGAUUAGAUACCCUGGUAGUCC
rnacentral:rRNA from 1 species